ACUCCUCGGGAGGCAGCAGUAGGAAUUUUCCGCAAUGGACGAAAGUCUGACGGAGCAAUGCCGCGUGAGUGAUGAAGGUUUUCGAAUCGUAAAGCUCUGUUGUAAGGGAAGAAUAGCAAGAAUAGGAAAUGAUUCUUGUCUGACGGUACCUUACCAGAAAGCCACGGCUAACUACGUGCCAGCAGCCGCGGUAAUACGUAGGUGGCAAGCGUUAUCCGGAAUUAUUGGGCGUAAAGCGCAUGUAGGCGGCUUUUUAAGUCUGAUGUGAAAGCCAGUGGCUCAACCACUGAAUUGCAUUGGAUACUGGAAAGCUAGAAUCUUGGAGAGGUAAGUGGAAUUUCAUGUGUAGCGGUGAAAUGCGUAGAGAUCUGGAGGAAUACCGGUGGCGAAGGCGGCCCCCUGGACAAAGACUGACGCUCAGGCACGAAAGCGUGGGGAGCAAACAGGAUUAGAUACCCUGGUAGGCUCU
rnacentral:rRNA from 1 species